rnacentral:rRNA from 1 species
GAUGAACGCUGGCGGCGUGCCUAAUACAUGCAAGUCGAGCGAACAGAUGAGGAUCUUGCUCCUCUUACGUUAGCGGCGGACGGGUGAGUAACACGUGGAUAACCUACCUAUAAGACUGGGAUAACUUCGGGAACCCUGAGCUAAUACCGGAUAAUAUAUUGAACCGCAUGGUUCAAUAGUGAAAGCCGUUUUUGCUGUCACUUAUAGAUGGAUCCUCGCCGCAUUAGCUAGUUGGUAAGGUAACGGCUUACCAAGGCAACGAUGCGUAGCCGACCUGAGAGGGUGAUCGGCCACACUGGAACUGAGACACGGUCCAGACUCCUACGGGAGGCAGCGGUAGGGAAUCUUCCGCAAUGGGCGAAAGCCUGACGGAGCAACGCCGCGUGAGUGAUGAAGGUCUUCGGAUCGUAAAACUCUGUUAUUAGGGAAGAACAAAUGUGUAAGUAACUAUGCACGUCUUGACGGUACCUAAUCAGAAAGCCACGGCUAACUACGUG